rnacentral:tRNA from 1 species
GACACAGUCGUUCUCAAGGUAGAGCGCCUGCCUUACAAGCAGGAUGUCGCUGGUUCGAAACCGGCAUCGGGCA